rnacentral:rRNA from 1 species
GGCGGGUGUGUAAGCGCAGCGAUGCGUUGAGCUAACCGGUACUAAUGAACCGUGAGGCUUAACCUUACAACGCCGAAG